AGAGUUGUAGGCAAGUAGUUGGACAAAAAGCAAGAAGCUGAUCGAUGUUGCUGGCUUUGGAUUCUUUGUGAACAAAUGAGACAAGGCUGCAAAUUCAGAGGAUCCUCCCAGAAGAUAAGAUGGAGCAGGUCACCACCUUCUUCCCUGCUUCACACCCUCAGGCCCCGACUCUUGUCUGCUGAGAUCACUCUCCAAACCAAUCUUCCCUUACAAAGCCCUUGUUGCAGGCUAUGCUUUCUGAGGGGAACCCAGGCCAAGACACUAAAAUGACACACCAACAUGAAGACAUGAACACAAUUGCAAAGGGAUUGGUUGGAUUGCAUAUCUCUGUGAAUGGGACUCAAGAGAAGUUUGGGAAAUGCUGGACCAGAUGACCCUUGCAAUCAUGGUGCACAGAAUUAAAACCGUCAAGUUCCCCAUCCAUCUCUGAGAUGGAUGAGAAUCUGAGUCUUCCACAAGAUGCCCAAGACUUGUUAAACCCGUGGAAUGUCUUUGGGUAUGUGUGACAUCAACAAGAAGCAGCAGACAAAACAAAAUAUUUUCACAAACAUUCAGAAAUCCCUAAAUCUUCCCCUUUUGUCUAAAAUAGUGAUGUACAUUAAAUGCAAAGGGCAAAUGGAACCAUUGAAAAGUACUUUUUGCAUCCAAAACAGCCAACGCUUUGGUGCCUGCUAUGUGUCAGACACUGAUUCUUCUGUCAUCCUUAUUCUACUGAUGAGGCAACUGAGGCAGCUUCAGAGAGUUCGAGUAACCUGCGGAUCACACAACUAGGAAGUAAGAGAGCUGGAACUUGACGUUGGGCUGUUGACCUCCAGAAAUGGUGUUUUUUCCAGUACUCAGUGCUGCCUCUGACUCCAUUGUGAUGGUUG
rnacentral:lncRNA from 10 species